AAGCAAUCUGAGGAGAAAUGUAAAAGUGUGAUCCAAGAAGCCAUUGCAAACAAAUAACCCUGACACUUCCUCUCAGCCCAAUGGGCUCUGCAGCUCUCCUCUGUACUGGCACGCAGGAGGCUAGCUUACAGGCCUGAACAGACUAGGUCCAUUAGAACUGGCUCAGGGCAAAGGCAGUUUGCUGGGUCACACCAAAGAGGGGCUGCUGACUUCAUUAUUAAAAUAUGGUUUUCCUUCUUAUUUCCCUCACCCUUCCCACUUCACAAGUCACUUGAAGGGUUCAUGGGGCAACACUAUAGCCUAGCCUUACUAGAGUUGCAUUUGUGAGCUAUAAUGUGAUGAAUGUACAAACAAUCAUUGAUUUCCACUGACUAUUAGGCUUUAGUCCAUUCCAUUAUGUUAAAUGGGAUUUCCAAAGGAAAUUCUCUUGGUGAUAUUCCUUUGGUGAUAGAAAUAUUAGGCAAGCAUGUGUUUUUUAGGGCAGGAUGAUCUUACAUAUGGGUUUACCCAAAAGAAGUUGCAUUGCAAUAAGGUAAUUGUGGGAAGCAGCUGUAACUUCCAAAACAGGUACUGGUAUACUAUAAUGAGGGGGAAAGAUUCCUGGGAGAACAAACUUACCAAUAACUGUGGAGCGACCUAAUUUCCCCACAGUGCAGAGGGUUGCUGUGUUAGGUAACAACGUUCGUUAUAACAUUUCAUAAUUACAAAUUAAACAGCACUAUUUGAACCAGAAUUAUCAGUCAAUUUCAACAGCAGCUGCAAUAGGAACUGUCUAAGAAGGCAUUGCUGGUGUCCAAAUUGCUGACAAGGCCACACUGGGUGUUUUCCAGCAGCUAACUCAUCUGGCCUUGGGAAGAAUAUAAAGAUUUCCACUGCACAUACCAGUGAUAUAUCUUGGAAAAAGAGAUGUUUGCAAAGUCAUGUUAAUACAUGCUGAAAUGACUUAAAUGCAACAUCUUCUACUGGCAAGUCAGAGCUGAUCCACUGCAGGCUUCCCUUCUUCUGAAAACAACUAAUCAACUCUUCACCAAUCUUGCUGACACUGCUGUUUUAUCUUAGAAGGAAGUCUGCAGUCAUAUUUAUAAUUUUCUCCCAUUUCCCUGCAAGAGACUAUGCUGAGUGCCUCCCAUGGGGCAGAUCAGGCCAAAAAAGCACAGAAUAAUCUACUACAGUGCCAACAGAAUGAACACUAUGGUACCAGGCCCUCCAGAAUUCAGGUGCAAAUCUAUCCUCAAUCUCAUCAAUGUUAUCUGAAUUUAAACUAUUGAAACUGUGUUUCCUGAGUUCCUACUAUGUUUAUAAACCUAUCCACUGAACCCUGGAAAAUACUGUAUUACAGUUUAGCUUGAUUCAAAACAUAGUUAUAACUUCAUCCCUCCACUGUGCCCCUACCUCUCCUUUGAAAAGAACUGAAGCUUCUUUUCAGUCUUCUGUUCUAUCAUGGAAAUGUAUGUAUUUAACUGGUUUAAUAGCAAAUCUAUUUGAACAAAUGACUUAUAUGCAACAUUACCAUAAAUUGAUUUAAAUAAUGUUUUGAUGCAA